AGUCUGGCAAUUGGAAUGAGAACAAUUUAAAUCCCUUAACGAGGAUCAAUUGGAGGGCAAGUCUGGUGCCAGCAGCCGCGGUAAUUCCAGCUCCAAUAGCGUAUAUUAAAGUUGUUGCAGUUAAAAAGCUCGUAGUUGGAUUUCUGGCAGGAGCGACCGGUCCGCCGCAAGGUGUGCACUAGGUUGUCUCCAGUCAUCUUUGUGGGAACUGCUCUGGCAUUAGUUUGCCGGGGUUAGGGAACACAUCGUUUACUGUGAAAAAAUUAGAGUGUUUAAAGCAGGCUUAUGCCGUUGAAUACAUUAGCAUGGAAUAAUAAGAUAGGACUUUGGUGGUCUAUUUUGUUGGUUUGCACACCAAGGUAAUGAUUAAUAGGGAUAGUUGGGGGUAUUCGUAUUUAAUUGUCAGAGGUGAAAUUCUUGGAUUUAUGAAAGACGAACUACUGCGAAAGCAUUUACCAAAGAUGUUUUCAUUAAUCAAGAACGAAAGUUAGGGGAUCGAAGAUGAUUAGAUACCAUCGUAGUCUUAACCAUAAACUAUGCCGACUAGGGAUUGGUGGGUCGUUCUUUAUGACUCCAUCAGCACCUUAUGAGAAAUCAAAGUCUUUGGGUUCCGGGGGGAGUAUGGUCGCAAGGCUGAAACUUAAAGGAAUUGACGGAAGGGC
rnacentral:rRNA from 1 species